GACGAACGCUGGCGGCGUGCUUAACACAUGCAAGUCGAGCGGUAAGGCCCUUUCGGGGGUACACGAGCGGCGAACGGGUGAGUAACACGUGGGUGACCUGCCCUCAGCUCUGGGAUAAGCCUGGGAAACCGGGUCUAAUACUGGAUAUGACUCCAUGACGCAUGUUGUGGGGUGGAAAGCCUUGUGCGGCUGAGGAUGGGCCCGCGGCCUAUCAGCUUGUUGGGUGGGGUGAUGGCCUACCAAGGCGACGACGGGUAGCCGGCCUGAGAGGGCGACCGGCCACACUGGGACUGAGACACGGCCCAGACUCCUACGGGAGGCAGCAGUGGGGAAUCUUGCGCAAUGGGCGAAAGCCUGACGCAGCGACGCCGCGUGAGGGAUGACGGCCU
rnacentral:rRNA from 1 species